AACGGUCUAUACCUGCGGUACCUGCGGAAGGAUCAUUACCGAGUUUACAACUCCCAAACCCAUGUGAACAUACCUGUCUUGUUGCUUCGGCGGCGCCCACGGCCCUCACGGGCUUGGGGCCCGCCAGAGGACCCAAACAAAACUCUUUGCAUUUUGAAUACAGUAUUCUGAGUGACAUGAUUAAAUAAAAUCAAAACUUUUAACAACGGAUCUCU
rnacentral:misc_RNA from 1 species